rnacentral:rRNA from 1 species
GAUGAACGCUGGCGGCGUGCUUAACACAUGCAAGUCGAACGGUGAAGGCGGAGCUUGCUCUGCUGGAUCAGUGGCGAACGGGUGAGUAACACGUGAGCAAUCUGCCCCUGACUCUGGGAUAAGCGCUGGAAACGGCGUCUAAUACUGGAUACGAGCUGCGAAGGCAUCUUCAGCAGCUGGAAAGAAUUUCGGUCAGGGAUGAGCUCGCGGCCUAUCAGCUUGUUGGUGGGGUAAUGGCUCACCAAGGCGUCGACGGGUAGCCGGCCUGAGAGGGUGACCGGCCAAAAUGGGACUGAGAAACGGCCCAGAAUCCUACGGGAGGCAGCAGUGGGGAAUAUUGCACAAUGGGCGGAAGCCUGAUGCAGCAACGCCGCGUGAGGGACGACGGCCUUCGGGUUGUAAACCUCUUUUAGCAGGGAAGAAGCGAAAGUGACGGUAACGGCAGAAAAAGCGCCGGCUAACUACGUG